UCCGUAGGCGGGCUAAUAAGUCAGGGGUGAAAUCCCACAGCUCAACUGUGGAACUGCCUUUGAUACUGUUAGUCUUGAGUUAUAUGGAAGUAGAUAGAAUGUGUAGUGUAGCGGUGAAAUGCUUAGAGAUUACACAGAAUACCGAUUGCGAAGGCAGUCUACUACGUAUAUACUGACGCUAAUGGACGAAAGCGUGGGGAGCGAACAGGAUUAGAUACCCUGGUAGUCC
rnacentral:rRNA from 1 species